UUGCUCAUAAAGUCACUAUGUCUUAAGCCGAAUCAUGGGAGUAACGGCAUCUUUUUAAACACUUUAAAAAGUUGGCAGUGUUGGCUUAAAGUACUAUUUAAAAAUUCACUUUGAAAAUGGCAUUUUUUGGGGGGGAGAACUGUAACUGUCAGUUUGAAGGAUGGGAUUUUUUCCAGCAGCGCUUGUAAAAAUAUCCAUUGCCAUAUGUGAGGCAGGUUUCGUUUUCGUAGUUUAUCAUAAAUAGAUGAGUUUGUCAAAUACACACACAUAUACAUACACGCACCCAUUUUUUGGCUCAGCGAAGAAAUUCCAAGGCCAUAGAUAAAGAAAUACUGAGCAUUUUAACAACACAUCUCACAGAUAAGCAGACAUUUUAUUAAUACACAUCCUAAGAGGAAACAGUUUAAGAACAGGGAUUAAUUAUACAUGGGGCAGAGAUAGCUGGUAGGUUAUCAAGAUGAGUGGACUUGGGUGGAGUUGGGGACCUGGGGAAGUGGCGGAGGAGAACGGCACUCGGAAAGGUCUGACUCAUCCUUUGUCCCACUGCUGACUUAUACAAGGAACGUUAUCUUCAGGAACAGCAAUUCCACUUGGCCAAAACUGUCAUCGUAGCUACGGUUUCAGGGUGGCCCAGAGAGUGAACGCCUCUGAAGUGGAUGUGCGGUGCGUAAAUCAUCCAGAAGGUCGUAUGCUUCGGUUAGCAGCAGCCUGUUUAUCUGUCAGUGGUGUCUGGAGUGAGAACAGCAAGAGGCUGAAGCAUCUCUCUAUUCACGUAGUUUGGAGGAACUCUCUGAGUUUGUCAUGUUGCUCGUUUGGUCUCGCAGCAUCAUAUCCUCUGCAUCGUCAGACUGGUAAUGUGGCAGCCAAAGGCUUUAAGAACAUGGGUUCUGAUGGGUCAGGUGGAAAUUGAAUCAUAUUUUAUCACCUGCCCUUGAAGCACAUAGUGUCGCUUUUACUAAGCUCAUUCAGGUUGAAGAAGAGAGAAUUUAGACCCUACCUGUCAAUGGGAUGUAAGAAGAGCCUCUAGGAUGGAAAGUACUGCUGUGGCCAUUUUUGGAAAGUAAAAUCUACCAGGCUUCUUUGUAUCCAGUCUUUGAAGGUUAACUGCAGAAUUUAUGGAUAUAGGUAUUGAUGUUAGAAAUAUAGAUAGAACCUUUUAGGUUAAAAAAAAGCCUUGACCUUAACAUCCUUGCUUUCAUCUUCAAAUUUCACCCUUUAAACAUGCAAUGAAUUUCUAGUUAUAGCAUUUAAUGGGGAUCUAAAUUUCAUGUUUUUCUCUCAGCUAAGCCAAAAUUAGGGUUGUGGGUGGCACAUGAUUUAAGUUGUAUCAAGUUCUUAGCCAUGCAGAGUUUAUGAAUAGUAAAAGUUUUAACUGGCCAGCUAUUGAAGAAACCUUGUGUUUUUGUAAGGAAAGAAGGAAAAUGUUUCCUAAAAAUAGGUGAAAUUACAUUUCUUCCUAUAAUCCAGCUCUGCAUAAGAACUGACAGUUGUCUGAGAGAGUCUUAAAAUUAAUCUUUUGAAUACCAAGAACCAUAGGUUGAACUUCACAGAUAUGAGCAGUGAGAACUUGCCUAAAGGCAGAGAGCUGCUAGCAUCUCUUUUCUUCAUGGCCACAUCAGCUUCGUCUUCUGUCAACUACAUCUCGGAGCCACGUGAGCUUUGGAAAAUUUUUAGCUUUCGGAUGUUUAGUCUGCAUAGGCUGGACCCUGUUCACUGCAUCUUAUUACUUCAGUUUCCCCCUCUGCUGUCAGCAGCGCUGCUAUCCAGCUAGCUUUUGUAGAAGCACCAGGCUUUCAGCAGCUUUAUAAGCCAAAGACCAGAAAGCUGCUACCUGUGUAAAACACAGCUAUGUCUUCACAGGGCUGUCAAGGACCAGGUUCCACUGAGCCCUCUUCAGCAGAUCAGAGGUGGUAUAUGAUGAGUUAAAAAUACAAUCGUAGAUCAUUACAGUUUAUUGCAAUUACUGUACCUAAGAAAGUACCACUUUUUAGCAAUCAGCCUGGCCUGUUAACAGUGAAAAUUCUCUCAUCAUACGGUUGAAGGCAACAUAACUUAGUGAAUUAUUAACUGUAAUUUAGAUGAUCUUUUAAAGUACAUGCAAAGUGUGGUUAUGAUAUAAUAAAUACUAAUGUGGGAUUUCAUAGUCAUAAUUUUGCCUCUCAACAGUUCACCCUUAGGUAAAUUUCUCUGUGAUAAAAUCUGAAUUCCAGCAAGGAGCCUAGUGAAACUGGCAGUAGAUUUGUUCAUUUAAUGAUUUUUAGCAAACUGAUUUUUAAGAAUAUUCAAUUGUUUUUCAAACCAAAGAAGUUCAAUCAUUAGGUAUACAGUAAAUCUACAGAAGUGACAAAUGAUGGGAGUUGCCGUUGUGGUUCAGUGAAUUAUGAACCCAACUAGUAUCCAUGAGGAUGCGGGUUUGAUCCCUGGCUUUGCUCAGUGGGUUAAGGAUCUGACAAUGCCUUGAGCUGCAGUGAAGUUUGCAGAUGUGGCUCAGGUCUGGCAUUGCUGUGGCUGUGGUGUAGGCCAGCAGCUGUAGCUCUGAUUGGAUCCCUAGCCUGCGAACUUCCAUAUGCUGCAGGUAUGGCCCUGAAAAGCAGGAAAAAAAAAAAAAAAAUGUAAAAUACGAUGACGGCAUUGAAGACUGGAUCAUAAAGUAACAUAAAAUUAUUUAAUAUGAGUAGACAAUUGGAAUGUCGGGUUUUGAUAAAUGUUUUCAGCUCAUUUCAAUUUAAUUCAUUUAGCAUCUUAAUUGUAUAACUAAAGGUAGUAACACUUUAUUUAGUGUUAUUAUCCAUGAAAACUGAACUCGUUCAUUUUAAGUAGGAAUUUAAAUGUCAUAUUUAUUCAUUUUCUACCCCAAUUCUAAAAGUUAUUUUUCCUAAGGUUAGUAACUCAUUGAUUAGCAUAGUAAUUGUAUUAAGUUGAUGUGUUUGCCAUUAUGCAUGUUCAUAUAAGCCAAAUGUUACUUAUUUUUCUUUCCUUGGGCCACCCCAAGGCCUACGGAUUUCCCAGACCAGGGAUCAGAGUCAAGCCCACAAUUGUGACCUACAUGGCAGCGGAGGCAACAUCACCCCCUUGAACCUACUGUGCUGGAUGGGGACGGAACCUGCAUCCUGAUUCUGCAGAGAUGCUGCCAAUCCUGUUGCACCACAGUGGGAACUCCCCAAAAUGUAUUAAUAAUUUUAAAACAUUCUUUUUAGGCCUUUAUAUCUUUUGCUCACCUCCCUUCCCACCUACCUUCCACACAGUUUUACAGAUUUUAUCAUUGCCACCCUGCUUCUGAGAACUGCUCAGUGGUAUCUCAUUGCCAGGAAGAUAAUAAAAGCUAGAAAGACCAGGCCCUCUGCUGUGGGCUCCUUCCUCCCUCCUUGCCUUAUCUUUUGCCUCAUGCUUCUCUGCAGCCUCUGCGCCAUCCACAGAGACCCGCUUGUCACCUCCUGCACAGACGACAGGCUCUCUCACAGCUCUGCCUUUGCCUCUUUCUGGAAUGGAUCCCCCUGCCUUGCCUCUUCUUCUGAUUCCUGCUCACCCUGUUAAGGCUUAGUUCCUUGACCACCUUUCCUCUCCAGUGAAUUAGGCACUUAUAUUUUUUUCACCUGUGCAUAGCUCUUAUACUGUUUUUAGUACUGUGUGUUAUAGCUUUUGCCUAUGUGCUAUUUGGAGGCAGAGUUGUGUCUUUAGUUUUGUAUGGUAUAGAUACCUGACGUAUAUUAGAUAUUUGAAAUUGUUUACUGAAGGAAUGAGUGAUUCAAUGAAUUUAUGGCCCAUUUUAUUUUUCAUUUGAGUCUGCAGUCUUUUAUCGUCGAAUCCUCUGUCUUACCAGGCCACCCUUCUUGCAUGGAGCAUGGCAGUACCUCUCAUUGCACAUUUUUAGUAUUUCUCACUUAAAAAAAAAAUGUACCAAGGAAGAGAGCGUGGUAGGCAGGGCUUGGUAAUGUAUGUUUGCAGAAGCUUAUACCAGCAUUGUGCUGCUUGAAUGUGGUAUACCUUCAACAGUGGGAGUCUUAAUUACUCAUUAAGCAGGUGUUUGUAGAACCACCACAAAGAAUUGUCCUGUGAUUAUGCAAAACUGCAUAAAACAUAGCUCCUGAUUUUAAUUAAGGUGUUGUCUACCAGAAAAGAGAAAACAGAUACCUAAUACAAGUUGAGAAUAUGUGGGUUUUUAUAAAGGUACAGAAAAAAAAAAAUGCAAAGGCUGUUUUGAGAUAGAUGGGCUCAGCUGCCUUUAUCAGAUAGACCUUGGAGAAGGUUGAGUAGAAGUUUGUCAUUCCUUUUUACUCUGAAUUCCAUGACUGAUGGACCAUGUAGAAAAGCUGUCUAUUGCCUUGAAAUUCACAUAAAGAAUAAUUGAUGGUAGUACUGUGUUUAUAUAUGCAACUUUGAUAAAAUAUUAUUAGGGAUAGGGAGAUUAAGAAAUAUCCUAAAUUUAUUUUCUGUGGAAUGAUUGACUUUUUAAAUAAAGUUUCUUUAGGUAGUUAAUGUAUUUUAAUAUGCUAAGAGAGCUGGAGGAGAUGGUAUCACCUGCAGACCUCCUAGGACAAUAGAACCACAUGAUACAAGUCAGUUUUUUAGCAAAUUGGCUUGCUUGCCUGAAAUAGGACCAGGACUCGAUCGCUUUUGCUUUUUUUUAUUUUAAUUUAGGUACCUGAGUUUGUGGAUGAUCAUUAGCUGUUAAAAAACAAAUAAUUGAAGUAGACACUUAGAGUUGGAAAAUGAGACAUUUGACUACCAUUAGGAGACUUUUAUCUCUAUUAAAUGCAGUCCAAUAAAAGAUAUUGUGGUGUUUAUUUGAAGAAUAGAAAUACCAUCUGUACGUGAUACAUGUACCUAAAUAUAUAUAUAAAAUAUAUAUAUAUAUUUUAUAUAUAUAUAUAUUUUAUGGCCACAUCCAUGGCAUUUGGAAGUUUCCAGGG
rnacentral:lncRNA from 1 species